rnacentral:rRNA from 1 species
UACAGAGGAGGCAAGCGUUGUUCGGAAUCACUGGGCUUAAAGCGCGUGUAGGCGGCGCGGUAAGUGUUCUGUGAAAUCCCACGGCUCACCCGUGGAACUGCAGGGCAUACUGCCGUGCUUGAGGCAGGUAGGGGCCACUGGAACUCUCGGUGGAACGGUGAAAUGUGUAGAUAUCGAGAGGAACGCCCGAGGCGAAAGCGGGUGGCUGGGCCUGUCCUGACGCUGAGACGCGAAAGCGUGGGGAGCAAACGGG